rnacentral:rRNA from 1 species
UACGAAGGGGGCUAGCGUUGUUCGGAUUUACUGGGCGUAAAGCGCACGUAGGCGGAUUGUUAAGUCGGGGGGUGAAAUCCUGGAGCUCAACUCCAGAAUUGCCUUCGAUACUGGCUUUCUAGAGGCUGGAAGAGGUUAGUGGAAUUCCCAGUGUAGAGGUGAAAUUCGUAGAUAUUGGGAAGAACACCGGGUGGCGAAGGCGGCGCUCUGGACCGAGACUGACGCUGAGGCGCGAAAAGCGUGGGGGAGCAAACGGGG